UCUACGUAAAAUGAAAAAAUCGACCAAUAGGAAAACUCAAUUUUGACACGUCCUCUAAAAACAUUAGAACGGAGUCUAAUCUACUGAACUUCCAAAAUGUAUAUUGGGUCAUCUAAUUUAAAGCCCACAGCCCUUCAAACAGCUUUGACUCUUCCACCUCCUUCAUCGCUUCAAUCUCUUUCAUCCGUAACUAUCGUAAACCUCCGUUUAGGUUUAGUUAACACCACCCACUACUCCUCAUUCAAUUCCAUCCUUUAAUCAUAUCUUCAUGAGAGAACCUAUAUCCUUUCACCUCCCUUUGCUUCUCAUGUUUUAUAAACCUCUUCCUCGAGUCUCACCUUGAUCCAAUUUUUAUAACCUCCAUUCAACCAAAUCAAACAAUAGCAGUGAAAUCUGAUCAAAUCUCCGGCAAGUUUCCAGUGGCCCCACAUUUUAACAUCUCACGUACUCAAAGUUAUGAGCUGGAAAGCCGAAAGCCCUUGAAUGAUGUCCUCCCCUGCUAAGUUCUGAUGCGGCCAAGUUCUCGAAGAAAGAUCUCACUAUCUCAGGCCCUCCGCAUGAUUACUUUUACCGGGUAAUAUAGGUUUCUUUAUACGAAAUACAAGAGCAGUCUAGAUUUUAUCUAUCUUAUGGAUUUUCACUUAGGGUGGACGGUCUCAAUUUCUUUGAAUAGGGUAAACAUAUUCUUUACGUGUCUUUUAAACAAGCAUCUGGUCAUUCAACUACAUGUCAAGUUUUCACUUAGGGUGGACAUUCUACUUUCUGGAUGCGUCAUCCUCCGCUGAUUUUUUGGAGCGAUGAAUAAUUGGGAUGAUACAUUUGUUCCAGAGACCAGUUUCUGAAGAGAAAACUAACAAAGGAAUGGAAUUGAUCGAAUGAUGCACACGAGCAGCUUGGGAGAAGGAAGCAUGCAUGUUGAACUUCAGAUUUUCUGAUGGAGUUCAGAGUACUUUAAAAAAGGAUGGCAGUAACUUAAUUCCUCUCUGCGAGCAAAGAGCAUCAAAGUUAGAAAACUCUGAGGAUGUACGAACUUCUGUGUACAGUAAGGUCAUAUUUCAAACAAAUCUAUGACUGGAGUUUGUCGUCAGAGCUACCGAGUUUCUAAUCUUCCUGGUAUUUUUAUUGUAUAGGCACUAGGCAGAGAUAAUAUUUUUACCAUAAUUUUUGUCGCCAGACCAAUUCGUUUAAGGAGGAGAUUUAGAUUCUAUAUGGAACCGUAACGAAAACUCAGCAUCGCGUCUUUAACUGUUAUCAUUUUUAUUCAAAACGUCGUAGCCUUUUUGUGACUAACAAAUAGACAAGCCAAGCAGUUCAACUUCCAAGGUCUAAAAUAAAACAGCUCAUUAGUCAUUAGUUUCUUCGUACUGAUUUUAUGGCGGAAAAUAUAAAAUGUUAUGAUCAUAUUUUUGAUUAGUUUAUUUAUCCAUUGUCAUAGUUUAAUCUCUUAGUUCAAUUUUGUAUAACACUACAAUUCAUGGACUGUUUAGUUGCAGUUCGAUAAAACUGAACAAGUUAUUCUUUCA